rnacentral:rRNA from 1 species
AGCAGCCGCGGUAAUUCCAGCUCCAAUAGCGUAUAUUAAAGUUGUUGCAGUUAAAAAGCUCGUAGUUGAAUUUCGGGAUCAGCAGGUUGGUCGUGCCUCUGGUAUGCACUGGUUUCGCUGAUUCCUCCUUUCUGAAGAACUGUAAUGUCAUUAAUUUGGUGUUGCAGGGAAACAGGACUGUUACUUUGAAAAAGUUAGAGUGUUUAAAGCAAGCUAACGCUUGAAUACAUUAGCAUGGAAUAAUGAAAUAGGACGUUUGAUCCUAUUUUGUUGGUUUCUAGGAUUGACGUAAUGAUUAAUAGGGAUAGUUGGGGGCAUUAGUAUUCAAUUGUCAGAGGUGAAAUUCUUGGAUUUAUUGAAGACUAACUACUGCGAAAGCAUUUGCCAAGGAUGUUUUCAUUAAUCAAGAACGAAAGUUAGGGGAUCGAAGACGAUCAGAUACCGUCGUAGUCUUAACCAUAAACUAUGCCGACUAGGGAUCGGAUGAUGUUAAUUUUUUAAUGACUCG